CCAAAAUAUGGCCACUGUUUUUUGGAAAUGAUAUGUAAAAAUAUUAUUAAUUUUUUCUUUAUUUUAUCCAACAUAUUAUUCGAUCAAUUUAUUUUGGACUUUAACUAGUAAUUUUUUUCCUUAUCUUUUUUCUUUUAAUAUGACCACUUUUUUUUGGCAAUUGAUAUGCAUUAAUAUUAUUAAUUUUUAUUUAUUUUAUUUAACAAUUAUUUGGUUACUUUAUUUUGGACUCUAACUAUUAAUUUUUUCUUUAUCUUCUUUUUUUAAUAUAGCCACUUCUGUUUGCAAACGAUAUGCAUUAAUAUUAUUAUUUUUUCUUUAUUUUAUUUAACAUAUCAUUAGGUCACUUUAUCUUGGACUGCAACUGUUA
rnacentral:lncRNA from 1 species